GACGAACGCUGGCGGCGUGCCUAAUACAUGCAAGUCGAACGCACAGUUUAUACCGUAGCUUGCUACACCAUAAACUGUGAGUUGCGAACGGGUGAGUAACGCGUAGGUAACCUGCCUGGUAGCGGGGGAUAACUAUUGGAAACGAUAGCUAAUACCGCAUAAUAUUGAUUAUUGCAUGAUAAUUGAUUGAAAGAUGCUAUUGCAUCACUACCAGAUGGACCUGCGUUGUAUUAGCUAGUAGGUGAGGUAACGGCUCACCUAGGCGACGAUACAUAGCCGACCUGAGAGGGUGAUCGGCCACACUGGGACUGAGACACGGCCCAGACUCCUACGGGAGGCAGCAGUAGGGAAUCUUCGGCAAUGGACGAAAGUCUGACCGAGCAACGCCGCGGGAGUGAAGAAGGUUUUCGGAUCGUAAAGCUCUGUUGUAAGAGAAGAACGGGUGUGAGAGUGGAAAGUUCACACUGUGACGGUAUCUUACCAGAAAGGGACGGCUAACUACGUG
rnacentral:rRNA from 1 species